rnacentral:rRNA from 1 species
CCUGCCCAGUGGCUAAAGCUAAACGGCCGCGGUAUCUUGACCGUGCAAAGGUAGCAUAAUCAUUUGUCUUUUAAAUGGAGACUUGUAUGAAUGGCGGAACCUUCUUCAACUGUCUCCCUUUCCACUCCCCCAAAUUUCUAUUUCCGUGAAGAAGCAGAAAUAAAAGAGAAAGACGAGAAGACCCUGUCGAGCUUCAGCUUAAAGGUGAAAAACUAAACAUCAUCCAAAAGCUUUGGUUGGGGCAACCAUGGAGAAAACACAUCCUCCAGAAAAAAUAGAAGAAAACCCUUCACUAUUUUCAACCUCAAAGAACCAGAAACUGGUAAUCGGAAAAAGUUACCGCAGGGAUAACAGCGUAAUCUUCUCUAAGAGUCCUUAUUGACGAGAAGGUUUGCGACCUCGAUGUUGGAUUGGGGCCUCCUUUGGGUGCAGAAGCUCUAAAAGGUUAGACUGUUCGUCUAUUAAAGCCCUACGUGAUC